rnacentral:rRNA from 1 species
GAUGAACGCUGGCGGCGUGCCUAAUACAUGCAAGUCGAGCGAACAGAUGAGGAGCUUGCUCCUCUGACGUUAGCGGCGGACGGGUGAGUAGCACGUGGAUAACCUACCUAUAAGACUGGGAUAACUUCGGGAAACCGGAGCUAAUACCGGAUAAUAUAUUGAACCGCAUGGUUCAAUAGUGAAAGACGGUUUUGCUGUCACUUAUAGAUGGAUCCGCGCCGCAUUAGCUAGUUGGUAAGGUAACGGCUUACCAAGGCAACGAUGCGUAGCCGACCUGAGAGGGUGAUCGGCCACACUGGAACUGAGACACGGUCCAGACUCCUACGGGAGGCAGCAGUAGGGAAUCUUCCGCAAUGGGCGAAAGCCUGACGGAGCAACGCCGCGUGAGUGAUGAAGGUCUUCGGAUCGUAAAACUCUGUUAUUAGGGAAGAACAAAUGUGUAAGCAACUAUGCACGUCUUGACGGUACCUAAUCAGAAAGCCACGGCUAACUACGUG